rnacentral:rRNA from 1 species
GGCUUAUUGAUAAUAAUUUUAAGUCUAACCYCCCGCYGAAAUUUUGAAGGGCCGCGGUAUUUUGACCGUGCAAAGGUAGCAUAAUCAUUAGUUUUUUAAUUGAAAGCUGGAAUGAAGGGUUGAAUAAAAAAAUUACUGUCUCUAUUAUAAUUAUUGAAUUUUAUUUUUAAGUAAAAAAGCUUAAAUUUAAUUAAAAGACGAGAAGACCCUAUAGAGUUUAAUUUUUUAUUAAAUAAAUUUUUUUAGAAUUAAAUAAAAUAUUUUUUUAUAAAAAUUUAAUUGGGGUGAUUUAAAAAUUUAAUAAACUUUUUUUUAUUAUUAACAAUAAUAAUUGAAUUAAUGAUCCAAAAUUUUUGAUUAUAAGAUUAAAUUACCUUAGGGAUAACAGCGUAAUUUUUUUUGAGAGUUCUUAUUGAAAAAAAAGUUUGCGACCUCGAUGUUGGAUUAAAAUUUAAUUUUGGUGCAGAAGCUAAAAAUUUAAGUCUGUUCGACUUUUAAAAUUUUACA